CAGAAGAUCCAGCUGCUACAUAGGAGUAUGAGCCCCGGGCCCACGGAUCAGCACGCCAACGGGAGACCACAGUCUCUUUGGGCUGUGGCACAGCACUGCUACCAAAUAUGCCUUUGAGGAUGGCGAGACAUCGUCCAACAAUGACAUCAUCACUGAUAUUCUCCAUGAUUCCUGCUGCUUCUCCUGCUACCAAGGCCAGCAAGAUGGGUGCUAACCAGGAAAAGGGUGGGCGAGAGAAUAUAAGUGAAUUAUUCAAAUCCUAACAUUUCAACCAGACAAGUCUGACUAUUAUCUGCAGCUAAAUCACAAGGCUAAAAAACCCAACAAAUUAAACAGGUAAUAAUAUUUCUCAAUCAUCCCCUACCACGUUGAAUUACCAAGAUGAAAACAGAUGAAUAUACACUAAUACUUGAAAUUAUCAAGAAAACUGAUGUAUAGAAAACCAGUACAUCAGGAGGGACAGCAUGUAGAAGAGGGGAAAGGAUUUAUUUGGGAGAAGACAUUGACAUUUACACCAGCAUUUAACAGUCAUCUGU
rnacentral:lncRNA from 1 species